rnacentral:hammerhead_ribozyme from 1 species
AUACAGCUGACGAAUCGCAAAUAAGAUGAAACUCUCGUUUUGAAU